rnacentral:tRNA from 1 species
GGGGGCGUGGCGGAAUGGUAGACGCUGCGGAUUUAAAAUCCGUUGACCGUUAAGGUCGUGAGGGUUCAAGUCCCUCCGCCCCUA